GCGACACCGCGCGGAACCCGAAAGCCGUUCUCAGUUCGGAUCGGAGUCUGCAACCCGACUCCGUGAAGCUGGAUUCGCUAGUAAUCGCGCAUCAGCCAUGGCGCGGUGAAUACGUUCCCGGGCCUUGUACACACCGCCCGUCAAGCCAUGGGAGCCGGGGGUGCUUGAAGUGCGUCGCCGCAAGGCGCGCCCUAGAGCAAAACCGGUGACUGGGGCUAAGUCGUAACAAGGUACC
rnacentral:rRNA from 1 species